AUCAGUAACUGGUGUGAGAGCACGACCAGUCACACGGGCACUGAGACACGGGCCCGACUCCUACGGGAGGCAGCAGUAAGGAAUAUUGGUCAAUGGACGCAAGUCUGAACCAGCCAUGCCGCGUGGAGGAUGAAGGCCCUCUGGGUUGUAAACUUCUUUUAUCUGGGAAGAAACCCAUUUUUUCUAAAGUGGUUGACGGUACCAGUUGAAUAAGCACCGGCUAACUCCGUGCCAGCAGCCGCGGUAAUACGGAGGGUGCAAGCGUUAUCCGGAUUCACUGGGUUUAAAGGGUGCGUAGGUGGGCAGGUAAGUCAGUGGUGAAAUCUCCGGGCUUAACCCGGAAACUGCCGUUGAUACUAUCUGUCUUGAAUAUCGUGGAGGUGAGCGGAAUAUGUCAUGUAGCGGUGAAAUGCAUAGAUAUGACAUAGAACACCAAUUGCGAAGGCAGCUCGCUACACGGUUAUUGACACUGAGGCACGAAAGCGUGGGGAUCAAACAGGAUUAGAUACCCUGGUAGUCCACGCCCUAAACGAUGGAUACUCGACAUACGCGAUACACAGUGUGUGUCUGAGCGAAAGCUAUUAAGUAUCCCACCUGGGAAGUACGACCGCAAGGUGAAACUCAAAGGAAUGACGGAA
rnacentral:rRNA from 1 species